CUACACGGUGCACGGCAGCGAUUCCACCUAUGCCGCCAAGGAGGUCUUCAAGACCAAUGGGUUUAUCAAGUACCUGGGAUCAGGGUACAAGAAAUUGGUGAGCGUGGUACUUGGUAAAAUGAACUUUGAGUCUGUUGUAAGAGAUCUGCUUUUUGUUCGUCAAUAUCAGGUGGAAGUUUACAAAAAUAAGCCUUCAAGCAAAUCCUCCAAUGACUUGGCACCUGGCAUUUAAGGCUGAACUUGGUGGAGAUGUUUGUGACCGAUGUGGAGCUCAGGCAGAGUCUUGAGGAAGAUCUUUUUCCAGAUUUUAACCGGCUGGCAAAGAAAUUCCAGAGGCAGAAUGCAAACCUGUAAGAUUGCUACAGGUUGUACCAGGCGGUGAACCAGCUUCCCAGUGUGGUACAGACCCUGGAGAAAUAUGAAGAAGAACUCAUACGUACUAGGUGGCGGAGCCUCAAGGACACACUUCAAAGACACCAGAGACUGGAGCGUGAAGCAAGAAGUGGGUCUGGUCCCCCCCCCCCUCCAAAGCGUCCCUUUGCCAGAUACAUGGAUUUUCUCAAGCCAGUUCUAGAAUUAAGGAACACAGAAGCAAGUGGAGAGGAGCAUGCUGCUACUGUUGACGGAGUAUCAUUUGCUUGCACAAAUCAAGAGGAUUCAUCAUCUAUGAAGGUACAGGAUGAGGCGAACAAGGUACAUGCCUUAAAUGAGUCAUCUACUUGGGAUCAAGAUAAUGACAUUUCUACACCUUCCAGCAGAAGGCAAACAUCUACCUCAUGCAGGAAGCGAAGCAGCAGAACAGGUGGAAGGACCAGACAAAUGAAUUACUGUACAUAGUGUCAGGGAUCACUGAACAAAUCGAUGUCCAGCGAUGCCCUCAUACUAUGUUUGCCAUAAGUUUGGUGUCUCUUCUCAAAGAGGUCUUGUCAGACCUUUAUUUUGACAUGAGGAUUGCAGUGCAACAUUGCAUACAUUUCUUUACUAUGCCGUGCCAUGUUUCAGUGUCAACGCAUUAGUACUAGUACUCAAAUAAUUACUCCCAUUUCUUCUGCUUCAAACCCUGCGCCAAACCCUUAUUCUUCUAGUUUUGCGGACCACUCUAGCAUUUAUGAGACUCCCAGAUCACUAAUCCUGUAUCCCAUUCCUUCACCAAUUGCCUCAGUAAUGACCCCCCGAACUAGAACCCCAGAUAUGACAAGAGUAAUGGAUGUUAGACCACGCGACUCAACUUCUUACCAUUUCCCACAACAAAACAGACCACCACAGCUUUGCAAUCAAAUACCAUCCAUGCCAAACCAAUAUCCACCUGUGUCAAGACCUAUGGAACAGCACAAACCAAUAAUUCCAAGUCAUUAUCCAUAAAGAAAUCAAUCACUUGAAGUUAAUUCAAUCAUGCCUCCAAUCAACUAUAUGGGCCCCCAAGUGAACCUCCGGAUAAAGUUAUAUCCCCGCCUGUGCCAUUGAGGCAAUCAAAGCCUAAGGAACAGAGUUUAACUACUUUUUUUAAUUUAUAGAUGCCUACCUGUUAACAGCACUGCCACUUUCAUGUUGCUAAUCCAUAUUGAAUUUGUUUACGUUAUGUUUUUUAUCAAUUUGAAUAGUUUAUUCAGAUAUUCAUAUUUUGAUGGCUCAACUAGGGAAGUGGAGAGAAAACAGAUUAGGGUGAGAGGGGAGAUGAACAUGGGAGGGAGCAUGAGAGAGUGGGGGAUGAGAGGGAGGAUGAGGUGGAGAAGUAUAGUUUCUGUUACUAAUGUUUUGUAAUCAAACAUUUUUGGUCCAUACCAACUUUUCAGGUUCUUGUGGGAUACAUAUAAAAAGGUGGAGGAAGAGGGAGAGAGUACGAGACUGAGGUGGACAAUGAGGUGCUGCUUUUUGUACAUGUGUGUUAGAGAGUCAGAGGAAGUUAUAGGGUUAGACUGAAGGAAGAGAUGGAGUGAGGGGAGAAAGAGCAUGAAGGGAAAGCUAAAAGGAGACACAGAGUAGUGUUUCCUUGUUAUGUGGUGAUUUUUAUGUAAGAAGUUUGAUUGUUUUCCCAACAUUUUUUUAACCGUUUGUAAUUACAUGCAGAUUACAAAUAAAAAAAAAUACUUUUUUGGAAGACA